AUUGAACGCUGGCGGCAUGCUUUACACAUGCAAGUCGAACGGCAGCGGGGUAGUGCUUGCACUACUGCCGGCGAGUGGCGAACGGGUGAGUAAUAUAUCGGAACGUACCGAGUAAUGGGGGAUAACCAAUCGAAAGAUUGGCUAAUACCGCAUACGUCCUGAGGGAGAAAGCGGGGGAUCGCAAGACCUCGCGUUAUUCGAGCGGCCGAUAACUGAUUAGCUAGUUGGUGGGGUAAAGGCCUACCAAGGCGACGAUCAGUAGCGGGUCUGAGAGGACGAUCCGCCACGCUGGGACUGAGACACGGCCCAGACUCCUACGGGAGGCAGCAGUGGGGAAUUUUGGACAAUGGGGGCAACCCUGAUCCAGCCAUGCCGCGUGUAUGAAGAAGGCCUUCGGGUUGUAAAGUACUUUUGUUAGGGAAGAAAAGGGAAGUGCUAAUACCACUUUUUGCUGACGGUACCUAAAGAAUAAGCACCGGCUAACUACGUG
rnacentral:rRNA from 1 species